rnacentral:rRNA from 1 species
UACGUAGGGUGCGAGCGUUGCCCGGAUUUAUUGGGCGUAAAGGGCGCGUAGGCGGCUCGGCACGUCCGUUGUGAAAUCGCUCGGCUCAACUGGGCGAGGUCAGCGGAUACGGUCGAGCUUGAGCCAGCUAGGGGGCAAUGGAAUUCCCGGUGUAGUGGUGGAAUGCGUAGAUAUCGGGAGGAACACCAGUGGCGAAGGCGGCUAACUGGUCCAGAUCUGACGCUG